UAGAUGGCGACCGGCGCACGGGUGCGUAACGCGUAUACAAUCUACCUUUUACAGAGGGAUAGCCCAGAGAAAUUUGGAUUAACACCUCAUGGAAUUAUAAGAUGGCAUCAUUUAAUAAUUAAAACUUCGGUGGUAAAAGAUGGGUAUGCGUUCUAUUAGCUGGUAGGUAAGGUAACGGCUUACCUAGGCAACGAUAGAUAGGGGCCCUGAGAGGGGGACCCCCCACACUGGUACUGAGACACGGUCCAG
rnacentral:rRNA from 1 species